rnacentral:rRNA from 1 species
GACGGGAUCCGGCCUGAGAGGGUGAACGGACACACUGGAACUGAGACACGGCCAGACUCCUACGGGAGGAGCAGUAGGGAAUAUUGCUCAAUGGGGGAAACCCUGAAGAGCAACGCCGCGUGAGAUGAAGG